UUCUGUGUGUGUUUCAUUUUAACGUUGAGUCGUUUGUGUUUUCUCUUAUUUUUGAGAUAUUGAGAUAAGACGUGGCACGGUACUUGUCUAUCCCAUAUUCAUGUAUUUGGUUUUGAUGUUAUAUUUGUUAUUCUCGUGGUGUUUUGUCUAUUGCUUGUUGCGUUUCGGUGUUGUGUCGUUGUUCUCCUCUUAUAUUUAAUGCGUUUCCCUCGGUUUUAGUUUGUUAUCCCGAUUUUGUUUUUUGUCCAUGGAUUUAUGAGUUUUGAACAGCGGUAUACUACUGUUGCCUUUAUUUAUCAUACAACAUUGUAUGACAGUUGUUUUCCAUUCGUUUGAUAAGUUUUAUCAUUUGAGUUUGCGAUUUGAUUAGGAACUUUCCGUUUUGAAUUUUCCACAGAGUUCA
rnacentral:lncRNA from 1 species